CAGAUGUUGACGUCUGCAUACAACAAGAAAAAUUGGGUAUCGAGAUUUUCGCGAAGACCCGUUUACCCACAAUCAGGGUAAAGAUUACUCUUUUGAUACACGCUAACCUGAAACUACCCAUCGAUUGGGUCGAUUCCACCCGGAUUUUUAUACUAUUUCCAGCUGUCAAAAUCCGGGUAACUGAUAUCUCAUCAAAAGAGUAACCUUCACCCUGAUUAUGGGUAAACAGGUCUUCGCGAAAAUCUUGAUACCCAUUUUUUCUUGUUGUGUGCAGACGUCAACAUCUGGGUAAAUAUCUGGGUAAAAGGGUCUUGGAGAUUUUUUUCGCAUUUUCCGCGGUAGAGUCUAGUCCGAAAAUGCGGCCAUGGAGGAGCAAACUUGAACUUGCAAAUUGCUGACUGGCGGCGCAGUAUGCUUACCCGACUGCAACAAAAUUGACCAGACUUGGGGUAGUAUCCCGAUUCAGGCGGAACGAAUGAUCGUUAGUCACCUUCUGUAAUGGUCACAGAACCUGGCUCUUGACCUGGCUCCGCUGUGAAAACCGCUCAAAAAUUUUGCGUUGCCUGUGAGACUGCCACAUUCAAAUCUGGAUCACCUCCACCGUCAUCGAGCUGUUUUGCAAGAUAUUCUUUUAGAAAUAUCUAAAUACUUGUUCAUGAGAUAUCAAUAAAUCGAUAAUGUGUUUUA